rnacentral:rRNA from 1 species
CGGGUGCGUAACGCGUAUGCAAUCUGCCUUCCACAGAGGGAUAGCCCAGAGAAAUUUGGAUUAAUACCUCAUAGCAUCAUGACCCGGCAUCGGGAUAUGAUUAAAGUCACAACGGUGGAAGAUGAGCAUGCGUCCCAUUAGCUAGUUGGUAAGGUAACGGCUUACCAAGGCUACGAUGGGUAGGGGUCCUGAGAGGGAGAUCCCCCACACUGGUACUGAGACACGGACCAGACUCCUACGGGAGGCAGCAGUGAGGAAUAUUGGUCAAUGGGCGCAAGCCUGAACCAGCCAUGCCGCGUGCAGGAUGACGGUCCUAUGGAUUGUAAACUGCUUUUGUACGGGAAGAAACCCUCCUACGUGUAGGAGCUUGACGGUACCGUAAGAAUAAGGAUCGGCUAACUCCGUGCCAGCAGCCGCGGUAAUACGGAGGAUCCAAGCGUUAUCCGGAAUCAUUGGGUUUAAAGGGUCUGUAGGCGGUCUUGUAAGUCAGUGGUGAAAGCCCAUCGCUCAACGGUGGAACGGCCAUUGAUACUGCUGGACUUGAAUUAUUGGGAAGCAACUAGAAUAUGUAGUGUAGCGGUGAAAUGC